UCAAAGCUGAUUCUUUCUUUGGGUUUUUUUUUCGUUUAUUUAAUCAGGUAAACCCCGUUGAGAUCUAGAUCUCAUUUUCAAGAGGGACCUGAAACAAACUUCACUCCCCGUCGGGGAAUCGAACCCUGGUCUCCCGCGUGACAGGCGGGGACACUCACCA